rnacentral:lncRNA from 1 species
UCACAAUGACACAGAUGUCCUGUGUACAUCACAGCAAGGGCUCAUCACCCAUGGGUAGGUAAAGAAGAGGCAUGGAGGUGAAUGCAGGCAGCAGCUUUCAGGGAAGAAGAAGCAUCAGGCUGCAGACCUUGCCUCCUCCCUGCCCUGAUGGCAGGACUGAGGCCUCCCAGGGAUGAAGAAACUGAGGCUGAGGCAGUUCAACAACUUGCCCAAGGCCACGCAGCAGGAGGAGGGGCAGGAAAGAAGCCAAAUGUCUCUCACAAUAAGAAAAGCCCAUCAUCUGCAAGAUCAUCCUCAGGCACAGGGCAGGCUGGAUCUCCUCCCAAAUUGCAUGCUCCAUGCCAAAGAGGUCAAGCCACCAAAUGACACUGACUUCCUGCCUUUAAGAGCUUUAUCUCUGCGGACCUGGAGCUGCUGGUCACCAUGGAAACAGAAGCUUUUGUUCACCACUUCCUCUUCUCUUUUUCUCGCUCCCCACCCCUCGUCUUUCCUUCCUCUCCUCACACCCACUUGCCCUCCUCUCUACUUUCUUUCCUCUAUUUUUAUUCCUAAUUUUCUAUCUCACUUGCCCUGAUUUCCUCAUCUAUUUAUUUAAAACUUAUUUAAAUUUUA